rnacentral:rRNA from 1 species
CGUAGGGUGCAAGCGUUAAUCGGAAUUACUGGGCGUAAAGCGUGCGCAGGCGGCUUUGCAAGACAGAUGUGAAAUCCCCGGGCUUAACCUGGGAACUGCAUUUGUGACUGCAUGGCUGGAGUGCGGCAGAGGGGGAUGGAAUUCCGCGUGUAGCAGUGAAAUGCGUAGAUAUGCGGAGGAACACCGAUGGCGAAGGCAAUCCCCUGGGCCUGCACUGACGCUCAUGCACGAAAGCGUGGGGAGCAAACAGGAUUAGAUACCCUGGUAGUCCACGCCCUAAACGAUGUCAACUGGUUGUUGGACGGCUUGCUGUUCAGUACGAAGCUAACGCGUGAAGUUGACCGCCUGGGGAUACGGCCGCAAGGUUG